GACGAACGCUGGCGGCGUGCUUAACACAUGCAAGUCGAACGGUGAUGCUCCAGCUUGCUGGAGUGGAUCAGUGGCGAACGGGUGAGUAACACGUGAGCAACCUGCCCCAGACUCUGGAAUAAGCGCUGGAAACGGCGUCUAAUACUGGAUACGAAACUGGCCCGCAUGGGCAUGGUUUGGAAAGUUUUUCGGUUUGGGAUGGGCUCGCGGCCUAUCAGCUUGUUGGUGAGGUAAUGGCUCACCAAGGCGACGACGGGUAGCCGGCCUGAGAGGGCGACCGGCCACACUGGGACUGAGACACGGCCCAGACUACUACGGGAGGCAGCAGUGGGGAAUAGUGCACAAUGGGCGAAAGCCUGAUGCAGCGACGCCGCGUGAGGGAUGACGGCCUUCGGGUUGUAAACCUCUUUCAGCAGGGAAGAAGCGAAAGUGACGGUACCUGCAGAAGAAGCACCGGCUAACUACGUG
rnacentral:rRNA from 1 species